UUACUAUUCACUUUAGGUGAAAAGUAAAGAUUGCGUAAAAUCUCCAUUCUAACUCGUUUUCUCUCAAAAUUUGACGAGUGCUUUUGUAAUUAAAAUACACACAAAAACAUCAUCAACAGAGAGUUUAGCUAUACUGCCAAAAUCUCAGUCCUUACACACACACACACACACACACACACACACACACUCUCUCUCUCUCUCUCUCUCUCUCUCUCUCUCUCUCUAUAUAUAUAUAUAUAUAUAUAUAUAUAUAUAUAUAGGCCAUGGCUACUAUACUAUUAUGAGUAUUGGAGCCCUCGUACUCAUAAGUUGUUUUCAAUGAUGGAGCUUCGAAUCGGCGAUCCACUUCGUUAAAUAUGAUCUAGAGUAUUUGAAACUUCUAGAAACUAAAUUUCGUAAAUUUUCGAAAUCAUAAUAAAGUCCAUCAAGUGGGCAUAAAAUGAACGGUCAAAAUCGAACGACGUCCUAAAAAUGUAUUAUCGGAUCAUUCAAUUCAAGAUCGGAGUUAUUGAUCUUUAUCUAUGUAGUGAAUAGAAUUUUCUAUCAAAAAUUCAACAAAUUCCGAUUCUUUUACACCGUUAAACUAGCAAGUAUCCCAUACCGGCCGUUAAAAAUUGUCAAAUUUGUGACCUCUUGAUCGUAAGGUAAAUGAUGUCGAAAAAUUAUAAAAUUUGAUUUCUAGAAGUUUUAAAUGCUGUAAAUAACGUUUAACAGUAUGGACUCGUCGAUUCGG
rnacentral:lncRNA from 1 species